rnacentral:rRNA from 1 species
CAGUAGCCGCGGUAAUACGAAGGGGGCUAGCGCUGCUCGGAAUGACUGGGCGUAAAGGGCGCGUAGGCGGUUUUCCAAGUUAGAUGUGAAAUUCCUGGGCUCAACCUGGGGACUGCAUUUGAUACUGGGAGGCUUGAGUAUGGAAGAGGGUCGUGGAAUUCCCAGUGUAGAGGUGAAAUUCGUAGAUAUUGGGAAGAACACCGGUGGCGAAGGCGGCGACCUGGUCCAUAACUGACGCUGAGGCGCGAAAGCGUGGGGAGCAAACAGGAUUAGAUACCCGUGUAGUCCCUGUCUCUUAUAA